CAGCUUGGCUCCAGGACUAUAGUUGGGUUCACAAAUGUGGCUGUGUCAGGAUCACUCAGAGAGAAAUUCGGAUACACAUUCCCUGCCUUCGACCUUUUGACUCAGUCCUUCGGAGAUUCUGCACAAGGGCCUGAGGAUCUGGGUUUUUAAAGUUCCUCAGGUGCUUCUGAUGAUUACCAGGGUGGAGAACUACUUCUCUACCAGGUGGAAUGAAGGAGGGGGAGUGGUCUGCAACAUAGAAGGGAAACAAGGAGAAGGUGUCGGAGAGACCAAGAGGCAAGCCGGCUGAAGACCGCCUGCCAUCGGCAUAUCGCACUGCAGAGGAAUAG
rnacentral:lncRNA from 1 species